AGAGCACAGCCCACUGUCCUGAGGACUUUCAUACCCAGUGCGGGUGUCAGUCUCAUACCUGCUCAUACCCAGUGCAGGUGUCAGUCUCAUUCAGCACACAGCAUGGAGAGGAGAAGCCUCACUCCGCUCCUGGGCCUCCUGCUGCUCUGGCUCCAAGGUGCCACAUGUGACAUCCAGUUGACCCAGACUCCAGCUUCACUUUCUUCAGCUUUAGGAGACACAGUCAUCAUCACUUGCAGGGCUAGUGAGAAUAUUGGCUACAGCUUAAAUUGGUAUCAGCAGAAACCAGGAAAAGCUCCUAAACUCCUGAUCUAUGGUGCAGACAGUUUGGAAUCUGGGGUCCCUUCAAGGUUCAGUGGCAGUGGAUAUGAGACAGAUUUCACUCUCACCAUCAGCAGCCUGCAGCCUGAAGACAUUGCAACUUAUUACUGUCAACAGACUUACAGUUCCCCUCUCACAGUGAUACAAGCCAUGACAUAA